rnacentral:rRNA from 1 species
CAGCAGCCGCGGGAAUACGAAGGUCCCGAGCGUUGUUCGGAAUCACUGGGCGUAAAGGGAGCGUAGGCGGCGUGGUAAGUCAGAUGUGAAAUCCCGGGGCUCAACCCCGGAACUGCAUCCGAUACUGCCGUGCUAGAGGAUUGGAGAGGUAGCUGGAAUUCUUGGUGUAGCAGUGAAAUGCGUGGAGAUCAAGAGGAACACUCGUGGCGAAAGCGAGCUACUGGACAAUAUCUGACGCUGAGGCUCGGAGGCCAGGGUAGCGAAAGGGAUUAGAUACCCGUGUAGUCCCUGUCUCUUAUAC